UGGGGAAUAUUGCACAAUGGGCGCAAGCCUGAUGCAGCCAUGCCGCGUGUAUGAAGAAGGCCUUCGGGUUGUAAAGUACUUUCAGCGGGGAGGAAGGGAGUAAAGUUAAUACCUUUGCUCAUUGACGUUACCUGCAGAAGAAGCACCGGCUAACUCCGUGCCAGCAGCCGCGGUAAUACGGAGGGUGCAAGCGUUAAUCGGAAUUACUGGGCGUAAAGCGCACGCAGGCGGUUUGUUAAGUCAGAUGUGAAAUCCUCGGGCUCAACCUGGGAACUGCAUCUGAUACUGGCAAGCUUGAGUCUCGUAGAGGGGGGUAGAAUUCCAGGUGUAGCGGUGACAUGCGUAGAGAUCUGGAGGAAUACCGGUGGCGAAGGCGGCCCCCUGGACGAAGACUGACGCUCAGGUGCGAAAGCGUGGGGAGCAAACAGG
rnacentral:rRNA from 1 species